rnacentral:rRNA from 1 species
UACGGGGGGGGUAAGCGUUGUUCGGAAUUACUGGGCGUAAAGGGCUCGUAGGCGGCCAACUCAGUCAGACGUGAAAUCCCUCAGCUUAACUGGGGAACUGCGUCUGAUACUGGAUGGCUUGGAUCCGGAAGAGGGAUGCGGAAUUCCAGGUGUAGCGGUGAAAUGCGUAGAUAUCCGGAGGAACACCGGUGGCGAAGGCGGCUUCCUGGACCGACUCUGACGCUGAGGCGCGAAAGCUAGGGGAGCAAACGGG